rnacentral:rRNA from 1 species
UCCGGCAGCCGCCAGCCUAUAGCCGAUAGCUAGCUCUCUGCAACUCUCACGUGGUCGCCCACUGAAACGAAACAGGGCCAGUACCUGGAUGGGAGACCACAUUGGAAAGCUAGCUUGCUGCCGGAA